rnacentral:piRNA from 1 species
UUCGUAGCCUUGUCAGUUAAU